rnacentral:lncRNA from 1 species
CUUUAAAAGUAUCUAGAGUGGAGAUGAAGCAAGAAUUCAGUAAGAUCUGGGAAAAGGUAGGGGAGAGGGAGAAGCAGUAAAGAGAAGAGGGGAAGAGAGAAGAGAAGAUUCGGUAACCCAAAGAAGAGGGAAGAGAAAGGGGAUUUGGCAGAGGGGACUAACGAACUAUUCGGUCAAAACAAAAACAAGAAGAGAAAAAAAAGAAUAAAAGGAAAAGAAAGAAAAAAAUAAGCAAACCCGAAAGGUACCCACAAUCUUUAGCAAUAUUCGGCACAAGUAAAAGGUGAAAGAAAAAUUGACCAAAUCAAAAUAGACGGAGAGAAAACAACCCCAAAAUCGAAACCCACAAAGUGUAAAGACCAAAUUUGGCACAAGUCUACCCCCAAACGGCACAACUCCCCCCA